rnacentral:lncRNA from 1 species
CUCCUGUGUGCCAGGAGCAUCCAGGCUGGGUUGGUGCUGACCCACCCGAGGCUGCUUUCCCCUUCCUCAGCCUAAUUCUAGUUCCUCAGGCAGCUCAUACAGAGACUUGGAUAUCUACAGGCUCUGCAUGCAUUGUGUAAAUAGGAACUUAAUCCCAUUAUAGGUCUGAGCAAGUCCACUGAGGCCAAGCAUCUCGAGCAGGCUAAAACACAGCCAGGCAGGCCUUCAUUAUAUCCUCUUCUGCAGUGUGAGAGAAGGCACUGCAUGAUGAAUGUGGAGUGUGGAUAUGGGACCAGAUCCUAUUCCAUGAAGUGAAUGAGAUGGGAUGGUGAAAGAAGGUGAUGCAUCAGUGACGUAACCCCAGCCUUGCCUCUAGCUCCUCUUGAGAGAAAUAAGAGCAACAUGCCUUUACAGGUAGCACUUGAGAAAAAACACAAAACAGAGAGUGGGUAGCACUUCUGAAGCUUGUAUCGUUGAUUCACUGUUUUCCAAGGUGACUUGC